AAGGCAAAACAAACCUUACAAA
rnacentral:snRNA from 1 species